rnacentral:rRNA from 1 species
AUUGUACGCUGGCGGCAUGCCUUACACAUGCAAGUCGAACGGCAGCACAGAAGAGCUUGCUCUUUGGGUGGCGAGUGGCGGACGGGUGAGUAAUGUCUGGGAAACUGCCCGAUGGAGGGGGAUAACUACUGGAAACGGUAGCUAAUACCGCAUAACGUCGCGAGACCAAAGUGGGGGACCUUCGGGCCUCACACCAUCGGAUGGUCCCAGAUGGGAUUAGCUAGUAGGUGGGGUAAUGGCUCACCUAGGCGACGAUCCCUAGCUGGUCUGAGAGGAUGACCAGCCACACUGGAACUGAGACACGGUCCAGACUCCUACGGGAGGCAGCAGUGGGGAAUAUUGCACAAUGGGCGCAAGCCUGAUGCAGCCAUGCCGCGUGUAUGAAGAAGGCCUUCGGGUUGUAAAGUACUUUCAGCGGGGAGGAAGGCGGUGAGGUUAAUAACCUUGCCGAUUGACGUUACCCGCAGAAGAAGCACCGGCUAACUCCGUGCCAGCCGCCGCGGUAA